rnacentral:rRNA from 1 species
GAUGAACGCUGGCGGCGUGCCUAAUACAUGCAAGUCGAGCGAACAGACGAGGAGCUUGCUCCUCUGACGUUAGCGGCGGACGGGUGAGUAACACGUGGAUAACCUACCUAUAAGACUGGGAUAACUUCGGGAAACCGGAGCUAAUACCGGAUAAUAUAUCGAACCGCAUGGUUCAAUAAUGAAAGACGGUUUUGCUGUCACUUAUAGAUGGAUCCGCGCCGCAUUAGCUAGUUGGUAAGGUAACGGCUUACCAAGGCAACGAUGCGUAGCCGACCUGAGAGGGUGAUCGGCCACACUGGAACUGAGACACGGUCCAGACUCCUACGGGAGGCAGCAGUAGGGAAUCUUCCGCAAUGGGCGAAAGCCUGACGGAGCAACGCCGCGUGAGUGAUGAAGGUCUUCGGAUCGUAAAACUCUGUUAUUAGGGAAGAACAAAUGUGUAAGUAACUAUGCACGUCUUGACGGUACCUAAUCAGAAAGCCACGGCUAACUACGUG